AAGCCACAGUAAACCAGUCAUUCUUACUUACAUUUCCAUGUGCUCUUCAAUAUGUCUAAAUGUAUUGUAAUAGAUUAAAUAAAUUCACAUUUUUGAAGAUGGAAAUCAUUAGUUUAUCACAAUUUAGUCAACAUGGAGUGCAUUUUAUGUGGAUUGGAUUCUUAAAAAAAAAAAAAAUCAUUAUAAAAUAUUGUUUUUUGUUCUCUUUUCAGGUUGACAUGUUUCAAACUGAACAUUUUACUUCUCAAUGUCACGUUCCAGUCAAAUUCCUGUUCAGAAUAUCAUCCUCCGAUAUCUUCACAGAUCCUUGGUUGGAAACCACAACUUAUUUGAUCAAAGUUGGAUAAUCUCUGAUGAGUCCAUGACAAGCGAGGGCGACGUACGACACAGCAGGACCAGG